rnacentral:snoRNA from 1 species
AACCCAUGGUGAGGGCACCGUCUCAAUAAAUCCUUAUAGCUCUCCCAUGCAUCCUAUAAAGUCUCUAAAUUGAUUUGCGCAAAGAGUUCAACCACUGUUUAU